rnacentral:miRNA from 1 species
UCUCUCUGUUGUGAAGUCAAA